rnacentral:lncRNA from 1 species
GUCCAUCCUUGCUAUCCCAGGCUGCCGGCCUGGAACCCAUCCUAGAUAGAUGAAGAAGAGGAAGAAGAGGCAACUCCAAAUGAACAAUCAACGCGCUCGCGUCAACUAACCUUUACCUGCACCUGCAACUGGGGUUGUAGUAAUCUGUGAGCCACAGGGGACUCAGCAAUCUCAUUUCCAAAGGUAUCAAGACUAGCAAAGCUUAAUGGGUGAGGUAUGGUUAAGUGGUGGGGUAGCAGCAGCUGCUAAGCAUAUAUUUGGUGGCUAACUUACGAGUACAAGAAAUAAGAGGGGGGGAAAGAUCUACGCAUAACGGACGUGAACUACUGAUGAUCAAAAGAAUGAUCCUGAACACCUACCUACGUCAGACAUAACCCCACCAUGUCCUCGAUCGGAGAAGGAACUCACGAAAGAGACAGUCACGGUUACACACACAGUUGGCAUGUUUUAGUUAAGUUAACUUCAAGUUAUCUAGAACCAGUGUUAAACAAAGCUUCCAUGUUGCCACAUAACCGCGGGCACGGCUUUCCGAAAGAUUUAACCCUGCAGGGGUGCUCCAACUAGUCCAUCACAAAUUACCACAAGCCGCAUAGAAAUCCUCAAUCACGAAGCUCGCGAUCUCGUCGGAUUCCCUAGAGGAAAACCUCAACUAUGAGAUUACCCAAAGCAUCACCGGAAUCCCGAUGCACAAGAUAUCUCGUCAGAGGUAAAACUAAUCCAGCAAGGCCGCCCGACGUGUCGACGAUCCCGAUAGGAGUCGCGUACCUCGUUCUCAGGACACGACGGAUGAGCAAUGGUUACCACGCCAAACGCCGAGUUGCCCCGGGUAGCGUUAAUAAGCUGCUCUGUUUUGGACCAACACUCAUGAGGAGCACUGGCCCGGGGGUUGAUUAAAUUAUCCUCGGGGCCCGGGAAGUCCCUAUGCAAUUUUAUUAGGUGAUUAGGCAAAUGUAGUACCAAUGUUGGGCCUUGCCAGACCAGCUUUAAUCUAAAACGAAUUAUCAAGGGGGUCCCCAUAACGACCCCGAUCGUGUUAGGAGCGCUCGUUUAUGGAACAUAACACCGGUAGCCGGUAACUAAAGGGGGCAAAGGUGGAACAAAACACCAGGCUAGAAAGGCCAAGCCUUCCACCUUUUGCCAAGUAUAUAGGUGCAUUAAAUUAUAUAACAUUAAAUAUGGUGAUAUGACAAGGAACCCAUGCUUUCACAUGGAAGCAACUACACCUGCAACUAGCAACGCUAUCAACAGGGUUAAGCAAGCAGUAACAUAGCCAAUCAGUGGUUUGCUAGGUUGAACAGGUUGAAGGUUUUCAUGGCAUUGUUGAGAGGCUGGUAUUUAACAUGUGGUAGGCAACGAGACAUAAACGAUAGAAGCGAUAAACUAGCAUGGCAAUGAUAGUAAUGGUAUCUGGGGAAAUGAUCAUCUUGCCUGAGAUCCCGCUUGGAAGAAGAAUGAACCCGUGAAGCAGACGAACCGACGUAGUCGAACGGGUCCUCACAAUCUGACUCGCUUGUGGAACUCUAUCGAGACGAAGCAAACCGGAAACACAAAUCAUCACACGAUAUUCACCACACGAUGCAAGACACAUAUGAUGCAUGAACGGUCUAAUGCAAGGCAUGACAAUCACAACAAUCAAACACUACACAUUAAGUGAAGUUCAAUAUGCAACGAGUUGCAUAUUGACGAAACUCCACGUUAGUUAUUUAGUUCUAUCCCGAUUAGGUACUCGGCAAUAUUAAAAGGUUGUUAACAUGGCAAGGGGGUGAAGCGCAAAUUAAUCUACCUAGCUAGGCAUUUUAAAUGAGACCAGAAACGGCAUAUAGCAUCUCCGAAAUGACCCCACGUGCUAAAUUCUAAUUCUGUCCAGAUUUGUCCUAAUCACAUUUUAAGUUUGUUAAACAGCAAAACAAAGUGGUACACGUGAUUCUACUCAUCGUUCUGGUCCAUUUACAUAUAUGGCACAACUCCAACGGAGCUACGGACCAAGAGUUACGACCUAAACCGUUUUCAACACGUCGACAUGCAAAUCGAAGCAAACAUCACGCCUAACAAAUUUGAAUAUGCAUGAGAGUUGGAAAAAUAUUAAUCUAAGCGAAAUUCUACACAUUUAACGUACAUAACUCGUUCCGAUCUGUCGCACGGUUUAAACGUUACACACGUUUUAAAAUCAAUGCAAUUUCACGAAAACCCUUGAGUUUAGCAAACAAAAUCGCAGAACGGGAAAAAAAGAUAUUGGGCUGAAUCUCAUUGGAACAGUGCGGCCCGAAAUGAACCAGCGCCAUGGGCAAACUAUGCUAACACGCACUCAACAGGAAAAAUACCAGAACAACAAAAAGAAAGGGCUCUCCAGGGAUUCGAUCCUUGGCUGCCUGAAUCGCCAAGCAUGGGCUGACCAGCAGGCUAGAGCUUGUAUCGUGUACAAGGUGUUGCUGCAGGCAAAGUGUAGCGUGUAGGACAAAAAUUAAAAUACAACACGCAAAAUUUGGGUUGCCUGGUAUUCGAACCCAGGAUCCCUUGCACUAAGGUUGGCUACAAUUGCCAACUCGGCUACUAGUGUGCUUGUGCAAAAAUAGACAUGGAAUUCUUAAUAAGCCGAACAACGAGAAUGGAUGUGAGAAAAACAGAACAAAGUUCAGAUCGGGGCAUUCUUACAGCGGACAGAAGGGGCCGGCGGGGAUACAGGGCUUCGAUCCUGGAGCUUCCAGCAAGGUGGAUGGGUUGGGGAUGCACCCUGGGUCGCGGAUCCAUCCGCAGGGAGCCGAUUCCCGGCGACGGCGAGCUGGACUUGGGCCCAGGGGGCGCUAGCUUUGCUCGUUUUCUCUGUAGAACAGAGGAAGCAGCAGGGUAGCACCAUGGAGGACGACGACGCGUCGUGGAUGGGGCAAGGAGGCGAGCUCGACGCAGAUCUAGGGGGUCUUGGCAUCACGGAUCCAUUCCCGGCGUCAGGAGCUCGAUUCGGUGGUGGGAACGCCGGUGCACAAGCUGAGUUGAGCGGGGUUGCUGCUCCUGUUGGUCAAGAGAGAGAGAGCUGAGCGGGAGGGAGCAGAAAGAGGAACAUGGGAGGCACGAGAGGGAUAGGAGAGGGUGCAGAGACAGUCCCUGGAGGUGUGACGAGGCCCAAGGUACCACGACGAAGCUCCGGUGGCCAGCGAUGCAUCCAGCCAGAGAAACAGAGAGAGAGAGAAAAACGGGACAGAGAUGGAGAGAGCACGGGGGCAGGAGACGACGACUUGAUCACCCAUUGUCGGCAGUGAGGUCGCCCGACGUUGGAGGCGCUCGAGUCCGGCACGGGCGCAGGGGAAGGGACUCGCGGGGCCGUGGCCCUCCGGUGGCCGGCCGGUGCGGGCCUGCGGGGAGGCCGAGCGCAGCAGCUGCUGCUGCUGGAUGCGACACUUGCGGGCAAGCUGCAGCUGCAGGCAAGCAGCUCCAGUUGGGGGGAUGGGGACUCCGAGGUAGGUAGCGGCUGGACCGGGAGGAGAUCCCGAGGAAGAAGGGGACUGGUGGCGGCGGCUACGGGUGGAUGGGACGGAUCCCCUAGUUUUAUUUU